UUUUGAUUUGUGACCUUCAUUACCAAGAGAGCUCACUUAAUGCUUUUAGUUCAGUUCCAGGAGGAUAAGCAGUCAGAUACUGCAGGAAUUAUUUUACAUAGCAUAGUUAUUAACAUGAUUACUCAGAGAAAUUAUAUUAAUAUGCAAGACACUCCAAUACUUCCACGAAAAAGACAGUGUUCUUUAUCACAAUUUUUCCUUUAGCACAGAGAACACAUUCUUAACUAUGUACCGUUAAAAUCCCUGCGUGAAAGUCUCCUCAGCCAAGCAGAAAUGCAUCAUAAAGAGUUCAACAGAGACAGAGAUCACCUAGUUCAUAUUUUGAUUGUUUCUCAUUAUAAACUAAUAUAUGCUAAUUACACUAAAUUUAGAAAGUAAAAAAUAGUCUAAAUUAAAUAAAAUCACCUGUAAUCCCACAUACCCAGAAAUAACCAUAUCAUUUUAAUGUUUCAUCUUUUUCUAUCCAUCUUAAAUGUAUUUGGAGUGUGUAAAUUUUUUUUUUUUUUUUUUGUCUUUUUGCCUUUUCUAGGGCUGCUCCUGUGGCACAUGGAGGUUCCCAGACCACCUAAUGGGAAGGGCAAAGUCAAAUGGGGGAUGGGGAGAUGGGGGGUUGGGGGGAGGGGGAUAGCAAAGCAGUUCUGCUAUUACCUCCUUAACAACUCUUUAAAAAAAAAAAAAAAAAGAUUCCCUACUAAAUAAAUGUCAUUAGAAAAUCCUAGGAUGAGUCUCUGAACUUACCAAAAAGUUUCCAUCCUUCUCCACCAAAGUAUAUAUACUCUUCAUUUCUGGAAAAAAAUAUCUUUUAAACUCUGUCUUUAUUUUCCCUUUCAAGCUACAGAGCUAGAUUAGGGCUCUAACAUUCUGUGUAAGCCAUGCUGUGUCAGUUUGUGAGGGUUGUCCUAACAAAGUACCCCACACUAGGUGGCUUAAACAACAGAAAUCUCAGAGUUCUGGAGGCUCACAGUCUGAGUUCAAGGGGUGGGCAAAGGUGAUUCCUUUUGGAGCUGGGAGGGAAAGAUCUGUGCCAGGCCUCUCUCCUUGGCUUGACGAUGGCUGUCUCCAUGUUCAUAUGGUGUUCUUCCUCUAUGCAAGUCUGUCUCCAAAUUUCCUCUAUUCAUAAGGACACCAAUCCUACUGGAUUAGGGCCACAAUAAAAAUAACCUCAUUUUAACUUGGAGAAGACCCUAUCUCCAAAUAAUACCACAUUCUGAGUCCCAACUGGGGGGGUAAGAAUUACAGUCUGUGAAUUUUGGGGAGACACAGUUCAACCCAUAACACAUAAGACUAUUACUACUACUUAUGAAAUUAAUUCAGAUGAACUUUUUAAAAAUGGAACUAAACACUCCCGGAGUUCCUGGCGUGGUGCAGUGGUUAACGAAUCCGACUAGGAACCAUGAGGUUGAGGGUUUGAUCCCUGGCCUUGCUCAGUGGGUUGACGAUCAGGCAUUGCCAUGAGCUGUGGUGUGGGUCGCAGAAGAGGCUCAGAUCUGGAGUUGUGGCUCUGGCAUAGGCGGGCGGCUACAGCUCUGAUUAGACCCCUAGCCUGGGAACUCCAUAUGCUGCGGGAGUGGCCCUAGAAAAGGCAAAAAUGCAAAAAACAAAACAAAAUGAAAAUGGAACUAAACACUCCAAAAUAACUUUGAUGCUUAGUUCCCAGUUAUUCCUGGUUUUAUACAAACCAACAAAGAUACAGAUCCCAGGGACUUUCAAUGACUUUAUUAUAAUAAAACCACAAGAAUCAGAAUAGACUGUGUUUCAACAAAUCAAAUUCCAAAUUAUGCAGAGCAGAACUUUACACUGCAGCUUUCACCCUCUGUAACUUAGUCAUUAGAUUAUCUGGAGGCAGAGCAUCCUCCCUGAGAAGUAAAAACUGAACUUCUUACUUGCAGAAAUGGAACACUCAUGGACAGAAUAAACCACACACAAUAUUGGCUAGAAUACCACCAAAGGUGUCAUGUUUAAAAAAGAGCUUUGAUGGAGACAUUCUAGAACGUAAGGCAGAAAAAAAAUGUUACUUCCAAAAUUCCUCUUAGGAAGAAGUCAGGAAAAACAAAUUUUUUUGAAAAACCUUUUAGGAUGAAGGGAAAGUUCCAAGAACACUCAAAUUUUAAAAUGACCAUCUAUGAAGGGAAUGUUUAAAGCUUUUAGCAGAGAGAAGGAAUAGGAUGACGGGAAGACAAGAAAGGAAGAGAAGCAGGGAAAUGGGAGAACUUGGAGAUUCGAAAGGCUGCAAGGCACAAGAUGGCAUUUCCACUUGAACACCCAAAUCACCAAUAAAUUCAUAAAUGGAAAUGGGGGCUCUGGGAGCUUGAAAGGAGCUGAGCUUUGCACCUAUGUGGGACAAAAUCAGCACUCUCCUAAAGGAGCCAGGAGGUUGGAGCUCCUCAGCUGACUUCUGGGUUACAGGAAAUAACUGUCUAGUUAUCUCCAGAUGCCCUUUAAGGCUAACCUACCCCGGGUACAUCGUGAUUCAUCCCUGCUCGAAGUCAGUGACUGUCCCUGACAAGACAUCUAUGGGACAAUCAGAAAAUCCCUGUCCUCAAAGGGGACAGGUAGAGGGUUGGGGAGGGAUGGACUGGGAGUUUGGGACUGACUUUUGCACACUGUGGUAUAUGGAAUGACUGCCCAAUGGGAACCUGCAUAGUACAGGGAACCCCACCCAAUAGUCUGUGAUAAUCUAUGUGGGAAAAGAAUCUGAAAGAGACUGGAUGUGUGUACAUGUAUAAUUGAAUCACUUUGUUGUACAACAGAAAUUAUCACAACAUUGUAAAUCAACUGUAUUUCUUUUGUUUGUUUUUUUUAUUUCUUUUAUUUGUUUUGUUUGUUUUUUGUCUUUUUAGGGCUGCACCCGUGGAAGUUUUCAGGCUAGGGGGUCAAAUCAGAGCCGGCCUACGCCAUAGCCACAGCCACACCAGAUCUGAGCCAUGUCUGCAACCUACACCACAGCUCACAGCAACACCAGAUCUUUAAACCACUGAGAAAGACCAGGGAUCGAACCCCCAUCCUCAUGGACACUAGUCAGGUUCCCUAACCACUGAGCCACGACAGGAACUCCAAUUGACUGUAUUUCAAUACAACUUUAAACAAUGAAAAAAAAAUAUUCUAGGCCACCACUCUGCUAGUGCCGUAUGAGAUAAUACUAAAACCUAAUCAACAGUACUAGUUAUAAACACAUUCAAGGCUGGAAAUGGAGAGAAGUGGGUAUAAACCUGAUGGACUUGAUUUUCUUGGUGCAACAGAAAAAAAAAAUCCUUUUACUGAGGGUGAGAGGUAGGAAUAAGAGGGAGAGGUUAAAAAGGGGAGCCUGAAGGGAAAGGUAAGACCUUGGGCUCAUUAUUAAUGACAGAACAUGUACAGAUAAAUUGAUAAUGUCAGGUUCACCUGAGCCAGACUCCCAUGAUAAUGUUAUGGCAACAGCCUACACAGUUGUAUGGUUUUUUCCCAACAGGGUUUAGCAAAUAGAGUCAGGCAGAACAAGCAAACUGUAGCAUCGAUCCUGGUUCCAGAUUUUGCAGAGCAAGAUAGUAUAAGCCUACUUAUAUCUUUUGCAGAAGGAUAAGGAUAGCACAGCUAAAGAUGCUGAUCAAGGAGUAGUCUGAAUAAUAAAAUGUGUGCCCUCUACUAGGAUGGAAAGGAAUAGAGGUCAAAAGGGACUGAUUGGUAGAUGUGGAGAAAGGCGAGAAGCUAAGGGAUUAAUGGUCUACUUGAAGUCAAGAAGCAGGUGUGGUGGGAACGGAAUUAUAAGAGAUUAGGAAGGAAGAAAGGAACAAAUGAACGAAUGAAUGAAGGACACACAUUUAUAGAACUAAAAUCAAAUAGUCAUGGUCACUGGCCAAAAUGGCCUAACAGAAUGUUGACCACAUGCUAUUACUUCUGUAAUUUUACAGAGUCAGUUAUGAACGACCACAUUAAAUGAAUCUACGUUGUAAAAGCUGCGAUGGAAAACCCUUCCAUCAUGUUGCUUCUCUUCAAUUGUUUACACUGUACCUUAUGCUAUGGAAGAUUUGGAUGGUUUACAAAGUUAUAAAAAGAUAGCAUAACAAUAAAUUUAAGAUAAGUAACAGAGAUGGAGCAAUGUGUUAAAAACGUUAGGCAAACAAGAUGGAACCGGAAUUGAGAUUGGUUUAUGAAGCUUAAUGCUGCUGAAGUUAAGAUCAACACAAUAAAUUCUUCUUAGAAUUUGGUGCCAGAUGAAAGUUUUCUCCCAAUACACUGUGUAUUUCCUACUCUUAAACAAGAAGAACUAUUUAACUCAUUUCCUUUCAGAUCCUGACUUCAGGAAACUUGGAAGUAAAUGUUCUCCCAAUUGUAAUAACUAUCCUUAACCCACCUUGUUCUAUCAAAACAAAUACUUUCCAUCAUUAUUUAAAUCUUGUUCUUUAAGUUAAUAGAUUUUUGUGGAAUUUUCCAUUCAUGCUACCUCAAGCACCACUGGAGUAGGGGCAACGCAAAUUUUAAAAUAUAUAUCCAGAAAUCUCAUUCCUAAUAAUGGUCCGCUGGACCUUUACUUAAAACCGCCAGCUCCAUAAUUAAUUUCAAACUCUAAAAACCAUUUCUCAAUUUAUCGCACUCUAAAAUCUUUUUGUCUUGUUUUUUACACUUGGCAGAAUGACACAGUGAAAUAUCCUCCGUGAGUUUGGCCUAUCAUUCCAUUAAUCUGUUUUCGAAGUGGAAUAUCAUUGAUCACAUACUCUGCAUUAGACCUACAAUAAGUUGUACUGCUUAUCAGCACUCUCUACUAUCUGCC
rnacentral:lncRNA from 1 species